rnacentral:tRNA from 1 species
GGAGAAGUGGGAGAGUGGCUUAAUCCAAGUCUUUGCUAAAGACUCGUACUUACAAAAUAGGUACCGUGGGUUCAAAUCCCACCUUCUCCGCCA